rnacentral:tRNA from 1 species
CGGACGGUGGGCGGCAGGUCGGCCAGGGCGGCCCGCACCCGCCCGACGUAGUCCGUGAUCUCCUGCCCAGUGACGGUCAUGCCGCCAUCCCCCGA